UAACGACUCUCAGCAACGAUAUCUUGGCUCUUGCAACGAUGAAGAACGCAGCGAAAUGCGAUACCUAGUGUGAAUUGCAGAAUUCCGCGAAUCAUCGAGUCUUUGAACGCAAGUUGCGCCCGAGGCUUGUCCCGAGGGCAUGCCUGCCUGAGCGUCACC
rnacentral:rRNA from 1 species